rnacentral:rRNA from 1 species
CUACAUGAAGCCGGAAUCGCUAGUAAUCGCGGAUCAGAAUGCCGCGGUGAAUACGUUCCCGGGUCUUGUACACACCGCCCGUCACACCAUGGGAGUCGGGAAUGCCCGAAGUCAGUGACCCAACCCAAGGGAGGGAGCUGCCGAAGGCAGGCCUGGUGACUGGGGUGAAGUCGUAACAAGGUACC